CAAAGCACCCAGGAGAAGAGGAUCUUUCCCGAUUUCCCUUCAUCUGCCCAAGACAGGCAGCUGCUUUCCCAGUAUCCAGUGAGCUCCAGCUUCCGGGAAAUCCUGGUCCCAGGAAGAGUCCAGGCAGGGAGGGAUGCACCUGGAUUACAACAGAAGCAGAGGUUGUUGAAGAUUGCUGUCCAUGGGAGACACCCUGCCCCAGCCCAGGAACAGAGAUGCAGUCUGCAAGGAUGCUGCACAGUCCCCAGUUCUGGCCUGGGGAUUGCUGUGCUCACAGUGGAGAAGAGAGGUGCAAACAGCUUGAACAGCAUUUAAUGCCACUAUUUGAAUGGGCACGCGAUCACCCUUCAGUGAACUUCUCAAGUACACUACACCCCAGAAGGAUGGGAGAAACAAUGCCCAUCCACCCUCGUACCCUUUUAAUUAUGUUUUUAAGCAGCUUUUAAGUAGAGCAUGCAGAAAAGAACAAAAUGAAAAUAUGCACUUCAUGGGGAAAAAAGUGAGACCCAAGAUCUGUCAUUAAAGUACAAGAGCCCAAUGAUGAAUAUAACUUUACUGUAUACUUAAAAGGCGC
rnacentral:lncRNA from 1 species